GGUUGUGGCUCAGUGGUAGGGUGCUUGUCUAGCACUCAGCGUGAGGCACUGGGUUUAAUUCUCAGCACCA
rnacentral:tRNA from 1 species